rnacentral:rRNA from 1 species
UACGGAGGGUGCUAACGUUAUCCGGAAUCACUGGGCGUAAAGCGCAUGUAGGUGGCUUGGUAAGUGGACGAUUAAAGACCGAUGCUUAACAUCGGGACUGUUGUCCAUACUGCCUGGCUAGAGGAAGACAGGGGCAAGCGGAACUUUAGGUGUAGGAGUGAAAUCCGUAGAUAUCGGGUGGAACACCAGUGGCGAAGGCGCCUGUCUGGCUGACAACUGACGCUGAGACUCGAAAGCAUGGGGAGCAAACAGG